AACGAACGCUGGCGGCAUGCCUAACACAUGCAAGUCGAACGAGACCUUCGGGUCUAGUGGCGCACGGGUGCGUAACGCGUGGGAACCUGCCCUUAGGUUCGGAAUAACUCCCCGAAAGGGGUGCUAAUACCGGAUAAUGUCUUCGGACCAAAGAUUUAUCGCCUUUGGAUGGGCCCGCGUUGGAUUAGCUAGUUGGUAGGGUAAAAGCCUACCAAGGCGACGAUGCAUAGCUGGUCUGAGAGGAUGAUCAGCCACACUGGGACUGAGACACGGCCCAGACUCCUACGGGAGGGAGCAGUGGGGAAUAUUGGACAAUGGGCGAAAGCCUGAUCCAGCAAUGCCGCGUGAGUGAUGAAGGCCUUAGGGUUGUAAAGCUCUUUUACCCGGGAUGAUAAUGACAGUACCGGGAGAAUAAGCACCGGCUAACUCCGUG
rnacentral:rRNA from 1 species